rnacentral:piRNA from 1 species
UGCCAAAGUCACACUGUACAAAUCUCACA